rnacentral:lncRNA from 1 species
UGGACACCAGCUAGUGUCCAAUUACAUUAAGUGAAAACUGAGAAACAUUUUAAAUAUUAAUGUGUUUACUCUACUUAUGGGCUUCCCUCAGUGGUAAAGAACCUGCCUGUCAAUCCAGGAGAUGUGGGUUUGAUCCCUGGGUCGGGAAGAUUCCCUGGAGGAGGAAAUGGAAACCCACUCCAGUAUUCUUGCCUGGAAAGUCCCAUGGACAGAAGAGUCUGGCGGGCUAUAGCCCAUGGGGUCACAAAGAAUCAGACAUGAAUGAAGCAGCUGAGCACACAUAUACAUAUAGUUAUGACCAAUUCACAUCACUGUAUGGCAGAUGCCAACACGACACUGUAAAGCAAUUAUCCUGCAAUGAAAAAGAAAAUACUUUUACUGACAACCAAGUUCAAUUUACAGGUAAGAGGUUUUGAGGACUGCAAGGCAGUCUGGCACAUGGAAACCCCAUCACUGUCAAAGUCCCAAGGUCAUGCCCUGACCAACAGAAAGCAACACCUGUCCCUGGAUGGCUUUUAGGGUCAUGCUUUUGGCCACUGGGUAUCAUGCGCCUAAAAGGUCAUCGCAGCAGGAGACAGUUACCCUGGACUUAGAGAGCAGCCAGCUUUCUCCCCAUGCAAACCUCCUGACAAGGGAGCUAGCCGCCCACCUACAACAGGAACAAGGAUGCCCUGUUAUACCCCAAUGUGGACAACCUUACCCUCACCGCUGCCAGGUUUGGUUUUUCAAUUAUCAUGUAGUUUGCAGAAAAGCGCUGUGCCAAUUCAAUUACUGCCUGAUUAAUGGAGUGUUGCGGGUUUAUUUCAGGGGUCUAGCUAUCUAUUCAUUAGCAUAUUGGGGCCUCUACUCCACUGUUUUGUCCUGA